GUUGGACAAGACCCAAAAAGUUUCCCCUGUUCGAAGACGGCGGGAAAAGCUACAUUUUCAAUAUCCAGCGAACACACUACUGCAAAAAUCAAAGCGUUCUCAAUACUUAUUUUUUCUUUCCUUAUUUGAUCAAAAUAUAAUCUAGGGUUCCCAAUUUUCGCAAUUUUACUUGCAGAAUCCAUUCUCUAACCCUAACACAAUAUGUAUUCAAGCCAAUUCGACGGUAACGCGGCCUUCUCCGGCGGUGGUUUCAUGCCUUCCCAAGCUACUCAAUCCGCGGAUCCAUCAUUUUCUCCGGCUAAAAAUCGUGAUUCUCAGGGAAUUGUUCCUUUAACAGUGAAACAAUUAAACGAAGCGCUUUUAACAAGCAACGAUAAUCAAAAUUUCGUUAUUGAUGGUGUUGAAGUCAAUAAUGUUACCAUUCUUGGUAUGGUAUCUGAUAGGACUGAAAGGGUUCCUGAUGUUACAUUCACUCUCGAUGAUGGAACUGGGAGAAUUAAAGUGCAAAGAUGGGUUAAUGAAUCAUACGACUACAAGGAAAUGGAGGAAUUUAAGGAUGGAAUGUAUGUACGUGUCCAUGCAAGUUUAAAAGGGUUUCAAGGUAAAAUGACAUUGGUUGCUUAUGCUGUCAGACCUGUGGUUGACUUCAAUGAACUUACGUUUCACUUCAUCGAGUGCAUGUGUGUUCACAUGUAUAAUAGAAAACAACUGGCAGCUAGUGUUUCAACUGAUCCUCAAGUGAUGUCUUCUGUCAAUGGAACUCCGUUCAGAGGAUACCAGAGUGCACAGCAGAAUCAAUUUCCUGGACAAUUUGGUGAAUUUAAGGGUGUUGAGAAAAUGGUGAUGGACUAUUUGCAGCAGCCUGCUAACUUCAAUGGAAAUUCUAUAUGGAAAGCUUCAACUUUCAAUUAUCCUCUUUGGAAGAUAGAGAGCUUUGAAAUCCAAAUGGUAACGCUCAUUUGUGUUCUACUUUGGUAUUGAUAUGUGUACUCCGUAUCCUUUGUAUGGAAAACUCUGAAGUAAGGGUGUAGCGGAUAUUAGUCUGGAGGUUAGAAUAAUAUCUGUACUAUUUCUUGUCAUUGGAUCUGCUUAGGUGUAAUUAUCAUAAGCCUUGAGUUAAACUCUAUGUUUAGCGGGUGCUCGCUUUUCAUUUUUUCUAUACGCACAAGAUCCAUGGAAGACCAUUCAUUUUGUUUCCAGCUUCACUUGCAACAAUGAGUAUUUAACUUCUCAGCAGUCAGCAUGAAGGUGUUUGACAUCCUAAUCGUGAUACACUACUGUAUAAGUUUUGACUUAAUCCAGGAAUAGUAUACUCGUGCAAAUAUUUGUGCUCCCUGCCUUAAAAUUUCAAUAUAAAGCCAUCCCAAGAACAUAUCUUUAUGGGUCUGGACUCUGGAGAAAACACAUUCUGAACUUAUGCUUUUAAAUUCAGCAAGAACAUGUCAAUCAGUGUGCUCGUAGGAAAAUUGUAGGAGAAAGCUUGGAUGUGCUGAUAAACCAUAGUAAAGGCAAAGGAAAAAGGGGUGCACAUUAACGAGCUUAUGCAGCAACUAAAUCUUCCAAAAGAUAAGAUCAUGGCAUCGAUGAAAGCUCUUGAGGAUGAAGGCCUGGUCUAUUCAACAAUCGACGAAGAGCACUACAAAUCAAC